GGAACAACAUGGUUGGUUAAGGCAUAUUGAGCAUGGCUAGAGGCUCUACAGUGAAAUAAGACAGUAAUCACUAACCAGGACAGUAAUGGACGAGGCAUAUUGAUAUUAGAGAGAGGCAUGCGUAGCCAAGUGAUCAUAUGGGUCCAGUGAGUGGUUGGGCUGACUGGGGACACAGCGAUUCAGACAGUUAGCAGGCCAAUGCUAACAAGCUAACAGUUAGUAGGCCGGGGCUAAACAAGCUAGCAGUUAGCAGACCGGGGCUAGCAAGCUAGCAGACCGGGGCUAGAAGGUUAUCAGAAGGGCCUUUGGGGGACGUCACGAUGGAGCUUGGUGCUAACAAGUAAUGAAUUAUCAGAUGUGUCCGAUGGAGGUCAGGAUGUCCCUGACUCAGAGAGAAGCGUGGAGAGAAGCGUGGAGCUGAGGAGUCUCCUUGGAGCUCAGACAACUUCUCCCUGGAGGUCAUCAGCUGUCUUGACCUUCAGUAAUCCCAAUGAUAUGAAGUGGUUCAUCACUGAGAGCAAGAGCCACAAGAGUUUCCAGAAGAAGGGUUUGAUUGGCUGGGUGCUGGAGAGGGUUCAGAGUGUGAGAGUGGAGAAUUGGUUGUUGUUUCUCCAGAUUUGAAUUACAGUACAGGUACUGUACUGUAUCAUGCCUG
rnacentral:lncRNA from 1 species